AUGCAAGUCGAGCGGGGAAGGGUAGCUUGCUACCUGACCUAGCGGCGGACGGGUGAGUAAUACUUAGGAAUCUGCCUAUUAGUGGGGGACAACGUUUCGAAAGGGACGCUAAUACCGCAUACGCCCUACGGGGGAAAGCAGGGGAUCACUUGUGACCUUGCGCUAAUAGAUGAGCCUAAGUCGGAUUAGCUAGUUGGUGGGGUAAAGGCCUACCAAGGCGACGAUCUGUAGCGGGUCUGAGAGGAUGAUCCGCCACACUGGGACUGAGACACGGCCCAGACUCCUACGGGAGGCAGCAGUGGGGAAUAUUGGACAAUGGGGGGAACCCUGAUCCAGCCAUGCCGCGUGUGUGAAGAAGGCCUUAUGGUUGUAAAGCACUUUAAGCGAGGAGGAGGCUCCUAUAGAUAAUACCUAUAGUGAGUGGACGUUACUCGCAGAAUAAGCACCGGCUAACUCUGUGCCAGCAGCCGCGGUAAUACAGAGGGUGCAAGCGUUAAUCGGAUUUACUGGGCGUAAAGCGUACGUAGGCGGCUAAUUAAGUCGGAUGUGAAAUCCCCGAGCUCAACUUGGGAAUUGCAUUCGAUACUGGUUAGCUAGAGUAUGGGAGAGGAUGGUAGAAUUCCAGGUGUAGCGGUGAAAUGCGUAGAGAUCUGGAGGAAUACCGAUGGCGAAGGCAGCCAUCUGGCCUAAUACUGACGCUGAGGUACGAAAGCAUGG
rnacentral:rRNA from 1 species